GUGCUUGUCUCUGUAGCACAUAUACUGAAAUUGGAAUUAUACAGAGAAUUUUGCAUGGCCCCUGUGCAAGGAUAACUGGAAAAUUCGAGUAGUUUUCCAUAUUGUU
ensembl:snRNA U6 U6 spliceosomal RNA